GACGAACGCUGGCGGCGUGCUUAACACAUGCAAGUCGAACGGAAAGGCCCUGCUUUUGUGGGGUGCUCGAGUGGCGAACGGGUGAGUAACACGUGAGUAACCUGCCCUUGACUUUGGGAUAACUUCAGGAAACUGGGGCUAAUACCGGAUAGGAGCUCCUGUAGCAUGGUGGGGGUUGGAAAGUUUCGGCGGUUGGGGAUGGAUUCGCGGCUUAUGAGCUUGUUGGUGGGGUAGUGGCUUACCAAGGCUUUGACGGGUAGCCGGCCUGAGAGGGUGACCGGCCACCUUGGGACUGAGAUACGGCCCAGACUCCUACGGGAGGCAGCAGUGGGGAAUAUUGCACAAUGGGCGGAAGCCUGAUGCAGCAACGCCGCGUGCGGGAUGACGGCCUGCGGGUUGUAAACCGCUUUCGCCUGUGACGAAGCGUGAGUGACGGUAAUGGGUAAAGAAGCACCGGCUAACUACGUG
rnacentral:rRNA from 1 species